GCACUGAUAGUUCAGUGGUAGAAUACCUGCCUUCCAUUCCAUUCGGAAGCGAUAGCAUGUGGCACGGGUUCGAUUCCCGUUCAGUGCA